rnacentral:lncRNA from 1 species
GUUCAAUCAGAAGAAUGCAAAAAAGAUUAUGUAGCACUCAUUGAAGAAGGCAAGAGCAACGAGGUGAAUGGCAGCUGCCUUUCAUCCAGAAGCAAUGGAGGCCUGUUACUGAACACACUGUCUCCGUUUCUGUCGCCUCCCUUCCUUGGCAUAAAUGUCUCAUGAAAGUCACAGAGCACCCAGCUGUAUUUGGAAGGCAUUCACAAAACUCAACAGAUGAGGCUUGCGUCGUUCUCCAAAGCUCUGGAGAGGGAGCAUGGUGUGCUGCUCAAGAUGGGCAAGGUGUCAGGGUGCCCAGGUCCCCGAGAGAGGGUAGGGAUGGCGGUGGAGACCUGGUUAGGACCACCGUGGCCUAUCCUGGGCUGCCAGAGCCUGGCAUCAGACAUCACCAUCCAGGCCCUGGACAUCUCACCUUGAAACAAAACCAAACAUGUGCUCUCUUGGGAACUCAGCAACCUUUCAAGGCAAGGAAGCUGGCAAAUAAGCCUCUGUGUAGACCUGGUCCAGGACUGUUACCAGUGCUGACCGUACUGGUCCAGUGCCCUUUAGCGUCAUCUUAG